UACCAUGACGGGCAGCGUGGGCAGCUUAACGGCUGGCCGUUGUUCCUGGCGGUAGUGCUAACCCACGUACGCCCGUCGCCAUC
rnacentral:antisense_RNA from 1 species